GUUGCCUGCUGUCUUGUAAGAUGUGCCUUUGCUCCUCCUUCACCUUCCACCAUGAUUGUGAGGCCUCCCCAGCCACGUGGAACUGUAAGUCUGUUAAACCUCUUUCCUUUAUAAAUUACCUAGUCUCAGGUAUGUCUUUAUUAGCAGCAUGAGAAAGGACUCAUCAUGCUACAUGGUGACAGCAGUGAUGGAGACAGUGCCCAGGAUUGCCUCCCCAUGACAGCUAGCAAGGGCUGUGAUGCUUUACAAUUACUGUCAGCCCAGAAUUAACUUCCAUUCCGUAGACAUUCAUGGGUGCCUGCUAUAAUACAUAAAAAGCACAAUAUGGAAACAGGCUGGGGCCAAAGGGAGACAAAGACCCAGUCUCUGCCUUCCGAGUGCUUGCAAUAGAAGGGGAUAAGAAACACAGCUGUGUAAGAGAGAUGCCAGAUGAUAGAUACAUGCAGUAUACUCUGGCAGUUCCCAAGGGGAGAGAUAUCACUGCACCCUAUGGGGAGCUGAGCAGAGGAGACAUUUGACGUAGGCUUGGGAGUAUGUGUAGGAGUCCAGCAGAUGGGGUAGGGAAGGAAAAACAGGAGCAAAUGCACAAAAGAGGAGAAGCAGAGGAUUUUUCUAAACAGCAAUGACUCAUGCAGUUUGUCUGAAUUGUAGAAUAUACGAGAGGGAGUAGCAGGAAUGAGACCUAUUUUCUGGGCUUGCACUUCACCCUAAACUCCAGUCAUCUGUAAGAUUCAUCUCUUUUGGCUCAUCCUCCUGAGCAGGAGCAGACAACCCCAGGCAACAGGCAGCACUUGCCCAGCAGUCAGGCUGCUGAACUGCUCUCCAGUGUGUGUGCAUGUGAGGACCCAUGAAACAGGGGCCACAGUGUCCUCCCCACCCAGGAACUCAGCCUGGUUUAUGAGAACAAACCUCGUUGGCCUGGGCAGCUGGUCUGAUCCACUUCCUGAACUCCUGCUCUCUCUGUCCUACCCCACCACCCAGGCCAGCCUCUCUGUCCUGAAGCUGAGACCUUCUGAACAGAAGGCUGGGUCAGCUCUGCUUGCAGCCAGAGGACACUGAGAAGGCCACCACUUACAGGGGCCCUUCUCCUCUCAGGUCCCCAGUGCUCCUAGGGUGGGCAGCCAGCACUGCUUUCCAUCUGAUUCCAAGCAAUGGCUAAGGCUGGUGGCUACCUAUCCAUUAAGCUGUAAGAUGUUUGCCCUUGGGAUGUGGUUUAAGUGUCAGUCUGAGGUUUAAAAUAAAACAAAACAAAUUCUGUUUCACUGCAUCUUUAAUUGUCGACUUCUGGGGAAGUAUCUUCUAAAGAUGUGCUAGGCACAAUCACCCGUGGGCCAAACUCCAUGAACAGAAGUGGGCAUGUUAGAAUCCUGCGUCAGCUCUUCCCUCAUCUCACUGCCUGGGAAAGUGUCUGGUUAUAACCCCAGCCCCAACUUCUCAGCUCUGACGCCUGCUGUUCAUCAAAACU
rnacentral:lncRNA from 1 species